CCAAUAGCGUAUAUUAAAGUUGUUGCAGUUAAAAAGCUCGUAGUUGAAUUUCGGGGUCAGUAAGUUGGUCGUGCCACUGGUAUGUACUGGCUUCACUGAUUCCUCCUUCUUGAAGAACUGUAAUGCUAUUAAUUUAGUGUUGCAGGGAAACAGGACUGUUACUUUGAAAAAAUUAGAGUGUUUAAAGCAGGCUAACGCUUGAAUACAUUAGCAUGGAAUAAUGAAAUAGGACGUUUGAUCCUAUUUUGUUGGUUUCUAGGAUUGACGUAAUGAUUAAUAGGGAUAGUUGGGGGCAUUAGUAUUCAAUUGUCAGAGGUGAAAUUCUUGGAUUUAUUGAAGACUAACUACUGCGAAAGCAUUUGCCAAGGAUGUUUUCAUUAAUCAAGAACGAAAGUUAGGGGAUUGAAGACGAUCAGAUACCGUCGUAGUCUUAACCAUAAACUAUGCCGACUAGGGAUCGGAUGAUGUUAAUUUUUUAAUGACUCAUUCGGCGCCUUACG
rnacentral:rRNA from 1 species